UUUAAAGAUUAUUUAUUUAUUUGAGAUAGAGCAAGAGAGAGCGAGAGCGGGUGGGAGGGGCGGAGGGAGAGGGAGAAGCAGGCUCUCCACUGAGCAGGGAGCCCCAUGUGGGGCUCGAUCCCGGGACGCUGAGAUCAUGACCUGAGCCCAAGGCGACACUUAACUGAUGAGCCACCCAGACGCCCCUGUUUUGUUUUGUUUUAUUUUAAAGAUUUUUAUUUAUUUAUUUGAGAGAGAGAGAAUGAGAGAGAGAGAGAACACGAGAGGGGGGAGGGUCAGAGGGAGAAGCAGACUCCCCGCCGAGCAGGGAGCCCGACGUGGGACUCGAUCCCGGGACUCCAGGAUCAUGACCUGAGCCGAAGGCAGUCGCUUUAACCAACUGAGCCACCCAGGCGCCCCUUGUUUUGUUUUAUUUUAAAAGCUUUCAUGUUUUUUUACACAAUUCCUGUCCCACUGAGCACCCAGACUUGGGUGAGAGCCAACCAUAAAUCAAAUGCUGAGGGCAAUUUAGACAGUUCCCAGGCUAGGUGUGGUGGGGGUCGGGGAUGGAGGGGAGGAGAGCUCCGGGGUCGGGGGGGAUGGCAAAACGUGGAUUCUAUUCCAGCUGAGUGUGGUAACAACCGUGGGAGAACAGAAUUCCACUGGGGGAGGGGGUGCCAACCCAGCCUCGGAGGCAGGGAUGCUUCCAAACGGAAGAGGCGUCAUCUAGUUCCAGUAAAUGCAGUAUUACCUGAACUAGCUCUCAAUGUCUGAAACAAGAAAUUACGCACGUGUGGUCUCCAGCCCCUGCCAGGGGAACAGGAAGGUGGCCUCUCCUCUCACCAGGAGGUGCCCAGCCCUGGACAGCACCCAGCACUGCAGAUGAGGCUUCCACAGCCGGCCAGCAUUUCUGCCAGACCGGGGCAGAUCUUUAGCCCUAUGAAGAAAUACCUCCAAAAAGUCUUCUUAUGGGGAGAAGGGCAGAAAAGCUCUGGUUUAUGCAAGGUCCCAGGGUGGGAGGACCAAGCUCAGAAAGGAAGAACUCCAAACCAAGGCCAGGAGAUACACAUGCCAGGUCCAGCAGAUUCUCCCUCCCUCCCAGGCAGGAGCUGUCCUGGCCUCUCUCAAGAAUCUCAUAGAUAAGAAAUGCUCACUUUGAAGCACUGGCCACAAGCUCCUCCAGAUGGAAACAAGCCAAAUGUCCAUCAGUGGAUGAAUGGAUAAUCAAAACGUGGUACAUCCAUAUAGUAGAACAUUAUCGAGUCAUAAAACGGAAUGAAGUACUGUAUGGGAAUCUGUUGAUCUGAAAUAGAAUUCUUUUUGAUGUGAAAUAUCCACAGCAGGCAAAGUUGGAAAGCAGGACUGGUGUCCUUAUAAAAAGAUGGGAACACGGAGCUGCACGGGAGAAAGAAGGUCAUGUGACUCCAGAGGCAGAGCGACUGCAUUGCUCCAGCUAGGAGCUGAGGAAUGCCUGGGGCCACCAGAAGCUGACCGAGAACAAAUUCUAGAAGCAGCUGGAUGGAAGGAUACAUACGUUUCUGAGGCUGAGCGUAUACGCUGGAUAUACGGGCAUACCUCGUUUUGUUGCACCACAUUUCCUGACCUUCCCAGAUGUUGUGUUUCUGAUAAACUGACAGUCAGUGGCAACCCUGCAUCGAGCAAGUCUGUCAGUGUCAUUGUUCCAACAGCAUUUGCUCACUUUGCGUCUCUGCGUCACAUCUUGAUAAUUCUCACAACAUUUCAAACUUUUUCAGCAUUUUUACAUUUGUUUUGGCGGCCUGUGAUCUGUGAUUACGUGGCAUAUUUUUUAAUUAAGAUAUGGACCUUUUUUUUUAGGCAUGAUGCUAUUACACCCUUAAUAAACUAUGGUAUAAUGUAAAUAUAACUCCUACAUGCACUGGGAAACCAAAAAAAUUAAUUAGGCUUACUUUAUUACAAUAUUCAUGUUAUUGCAGUGGUCCGGAACCAAACCCACAAUAUCUCUGAGGUAUCCCUAUAUUUAUACAGCUGCUGUCCUGAAAGCCUCUACCAAUUUUUUCCCAAA